rnacentral:misc_RNA from 1 species
UCGAAUUCUGAGGGGUGGAGACUGUCGCUGGCCCCCUUUGUCGGGGCAUGUGCACGUCUUUCUUCUCUCUCAUACACACACCUGUGCACCUGUCGUAGGCCCUCGAAAGAGGAUCUAUGUUUUUUCACAUCACACCCGUCGUAUGUCUACAGAAUGUGAUUGUAUCAUAAUA